ensembl:lncRNA
CUGAUAGACUAACUGUUAGAGCACAUUUAGAAACUGUUUUUCUGUUACAGUGUGAUCCUGGUGUUUGUGGACCAGCUCUGCUAUUUCCCUUGGUGACUGUGUUUGGCUACCCAAUGCCUGACAGUGAUGAGCAGGACCACAUCACGAAGUCUCUAGUUCAGACUACAACAACAGUAGUUUUCUCCUUUUCUAGAGAUUUCUCGUGCUUCUGUUUUGCUUAGGCCUGUUCUGUAGUAUUUCAGAUUAAGUUGUGAAUUUUAUAGCAUUAACCAUACGAGUGAUCUUUAUUUUGUUUUAUUGUCUUUCUUUAGAGUUAUUAAGUUGUUUCUGUUUUUUUCUCUUUUAGGGAUAUUUGUUGGGAGGCUGGGCACCUUUGCUGAAGUCCCUCCUCACGUUUAUGCAGGUGAAUGAAAGCACUGGGAGUAUAAGAGACACUAUUUUGGUCCGUUGUGAGAUUUGAAACAGGGAUUGCAGUGAGAUGCAUCAGAUCAAUAGUUUGUAGCACCUCUGGACACUCCUCAGUGUAGACUGCCUCCCCAAAUGGCCCCCAGUUGUAUUGAUUUUCUAGCUACACAGUAGAGCUGCUGUUUUUAACUAUGUAGUGUUUGUAGCUGUUAUUUUUUUUUUGUUAUAACCAAGUUUAAUUUAACCAUCAUUUAAAUUUUCUUUUGUUGCAGAGCCGAUCUUAUACUUUAUUUGUCAAAUAAAAUAUAUAAAUGGGCAUCCAUCAUGCCUCUACCCAUGCUUUUGCAACCAACUGGUAAUGUAAUCAAGGUUUACUAGUUUAAUAUUGUCAGGGUGUAAUUUCACUGACUGUGUUGCUGGUUUUCUUCCAUCCAUCCAUCUUCUCAACCCUUCGUCCUUCAGGCUCGCUGGGGGAGUCUAUCCCAGCUGUCAUAGACAGGUUGCUAGUAAGGGCUUCAUCAGUCCUUCAGCAAUGAUUUUUAGCCCUAAAUUCAACCAUUAUAUUGAGUGUUUAUUAAAUUGUUGUACUGAUACUUUAAAGUAAAUUUGUAAAAAAAUCUGAGCAACAAAUUGUUUCAUCACAGGCACAUUUUCACCUUCAAGACCGAGGAGAC